GCACUGGUCUUUGAAUAGAAUUUAGUUACAUUUCUUUCCACUUACUUGUGUUUCAACUUAGAUCUAUUUAUCCAAGCUGCUAAACCUUUAAACAUGGAUCUGAUCGCGAAUGUUGCAGCCGACGUAGUCCCCAUGCCUUGGUACUUGAGAUGGUACAUAAAGAUCAAAACUUGUUCUUGCUGCUGCUGCUGCUCCCCCAAAGUAGAAUUCUAGCUGGACGGUUGCUCAAAGAAGAAAAAAAGGUGAACUGUAGGGAUUAGACUUUAUCUACGGAAUGAAAUUGUAUAAUUUGAUCUUGCGAGCGAUUGUGAGAUUUCAGGUGGAAUUUGCUUUCAUUUUUCGCAACAGAAUUGUACACAAAUACAGUAACUCCACGUCCCGGCCAUUAUUUGUUUAUUUAUUGUUUCGGCUUUUUGUCGACCAACAAAACUUUGUCGGUUUUAACAAGCAGACCAGAUCAUUUUUCUAUUCUGUUGAUAACGUGCGUGAUAUAAAUUAGAUGUUAAUUUCAUUAUAUUGAAAUCUAUCUCUGUUAAAUUUUGAAAACUUCAUGCAUCAGAACUGAAUAAGGUUAGAAAUGU